rnacentral:rRNA from 1 species
AUACGGAGGACGCGAGCGUUAUCCGGAUUCAUUGGGUUUAAAGGGUGCGCAGGUGGCCGUGCAAGUCAGCAGUGAAAGCCCGGGGCUCAACCCCGGAAGUGCCGUUGAUACUGCGUGGCUGGAAUGCGGUCGAGGCGGGCGGAACGUGGCGGGUAGCGGGGAAAGGAAUAGAUAUGCCACAGAACGCCGAUAGCGGAGGCAGCUCGCCAGGCCUGCAUUGACGCUCGGGCACGAAAGCGUGGGGAUCGAACAGGAUUAGAUACCCUGGUAGUCCACGCCGUAAACGAUGGGCGCUCGUCGUCGGCGACAGACAGUCGGCGGCCAAGCGAAAGCGAUAAGCGCCCCACCUGGGGAGUACGGUCGCAAGGCUAAAACUCAAAGGAAUUGACGGGG